CCUACGGGAGGCAGCAGUGGGGAAUAUUGGACAAUGGGCGAAAGCCUGAUCCAGCAAUGCCGCGUGAGUGAUGAAGGCCUUAGGGUUGUAAAGCUCUUUUACCAGGGAUGAUAAUGACAGUACCUGGAGAAUAAGCUCCGGCUAACUCCGUGCCAGCAGCCGCGGUAAUACGGAGGGAGCUAGCGUUGUUCGGAAUUACUGGGCGUAAAGCGUGCGUAGGCGGUUAUUCAAGUCAGAGGUGAAAGCCCGGGGCUCAACCCCGGAACGGCCUUUGAAACUAGAUAGCUAGAGUCUUGGAGAGGUUAGUGGAAUCCCGAGUGUAGAGGUGAAAUUCGUAGAUAUUCGGAAGAACACCAGUGGCGAAGGCGACUAACUGGACAAGUACUGACGCUGAGGUACGAAAGCGUGGGGAGCAAACAGGAUUAGAUACCCUGGUAGUCCACGCCGUAAACGAUGAUAACUAGCUGUCCGGGCACUUGGUGCUUGGGUGGCGCAGCUAACGCAUUAAGUUAUCCGCCUGGGGAGUACGGUCGCAAGAUUAAAACUCAAAGGAAUUGACGG
rnacentral:rRNA from 1 species